rnacentral:rRNA from 1 species
GAUGAACGCUGGCGGCGUGCCUAAUACAUGCAAGUCGAGCGAACGGACGAGGAGCUUGCUUCUCUGAUGUUAGCGGCGGACGGGUGAGUAACACGUGGAUAACCUACCUAUAAGACUGGGAUAACUUCGGGAAACCGGAGCUAAUACCGGAUAAUAUUUUGAACCGCAUGGUUCAAAAGUUAAAGACGGUCUUGCUGUCACUUAUAGAUGGAUCCGCGCUGCAUUAGCUAGUUGGUAAGGUAACGGCUUACCAAGGCAACGAUGCAUAGCCGACCUGAGAGGGUGAUCGGCCACACGGGAACUGAGAAACGGUCGAGACACCUACGGGAGGAAGCAGUAGGGAAUCUUACGCAAUGGGCGAAAGCGUGACGGAGCAACGCCGCGUGAGUGAUGAAGGUCUUAGGAUCGUAAAACUAUGUUAUUAGGGAAGAACAUAUGUGUAAGUACCUGUGCACAUCUUGAUGGUACCUAAUCAGAAAGCCACGGCUAACUACGUG